UACGAAGGGGGCUAGCGUUGCUCGGAAUCACUGGGCGUAAAGCGCACGUAGGCGUGUUGCUAAGUCAGGGGUGAAAUCCUGGAGCUCAACUCCAGAACUGCCUUUGAUACUGGCGAUCUCGAGUCCGGGAGAGGUGAGUGGAACUGCGAGUGUAGAGGUGAAAUUCGUGGAUAUUCGCAAGAACACCAGUGGCGAAGGCGGCUCACUGGCCCGGUACUGACGCUGAGGUGCGAAAGCGUGGGGAGCAAACAGG
rnacentral:rRNA from 1 species